rnacentral:rRNA from 1 species
AACGAACGCUGGCGGCAGGCCUAACACAUGCAAGUCGAACGUGAAGCCACCUUCGGGUGGUGGAAAGUGGCAGACGGGUGAGUAACGCGUGGGAACGUGCCUUCGGUUCGGGAUAACCCAGGGAAACUUGGGCUAAUACCGGAUACGCCCUCCGGGGGAAAGAUUCAUCGCCGAAAGAUCGGCCCGCGUCGGAUUAGCUAGUUGGUGGGGUAAUUGCCUACCAAGGCGACGAUCCGUAGCUGGUCUGAGAGGAUGAUCAGCCACACUGGGACUGAGACACGGCCCAGACUCCUACGGGAGGCAGCAGUGGGGAAUAUUGGACAAUGGGCGCAAGCCUGAUCCAGCCAUGCCGCGUGGGUGAAGAAGGCCCUAGGGUUGUAAAUCCCUUUCAGCGGGGAAGAUAAUGACGGUACCCGCAGAAGAAGCCCCGGCUAACUCCGUG